CAAGUGUUGUAAUCAUGAUUAACUAAGUGUGACAGGAGCUCUUCUCCCUCCUUACCGCUAUACGGCACUGUGCCAUGCGCCUCCGCGCAUUUGUCACUAUGGGCGGCGCCGGUAGUAUAAAUACAGGGGUGUGGCGUAGCUCGUGACUCACCUGUCAACUCCUUCGCUGGUGGCUGGAGCACGGCGUGGCCGAAAUUAAUUGUUUGGCGUGGCAGCCGUUUCGCAACAGUUGCAUCCGUACAGCGCAUCUGACUGCCGGUGCGGUGGCGAAGAAAUUGCUUCGCUGAAGACUCCCCUGGGCGCAGUGUUGUUAUCACCUGCGGGAUUUUGCCAUGGCCUGUGCGCCUCUCUCCCCUGACGGCUCGGGUGCUGUGCUGUGGCUCAAUAGAUUGGGUGCUAUUAAUUGUUAGGUCCACCUUCGGACAACUGGUCCUGCUGUUUUGGGUCUUUCCAGUGACUCACUGAUGGGAUAAACUUGCCGUUGCUUUGCGAGCUCCGUGGCUGGUGACGUGCCCCCUCCCCCCCUUCUGGACUCUGAAGCGGUUCGGGCUCUCCGGGAACUCGCCGACCAAUUCUCACGGAUAAGCUACAACUCACUGUUUAAUUUAAGAAACUGUUAUCUUGGUUUUGUUAUUUUGUUUUGUUAAUUUAGUUUAUAGUGUUUUCCUUGUUUAACAUUGACCAUUGCGUACAGACUGUAUUUGGAUAAGUUAAUUAAUUUGGUUGUAUUUGUUUGAUUAUUUAUUUAGUAGUUUAUUUAAGUGUAAUACUGUGUGGAGGUUUUAACCGUCUUCCUCGUGUUAGACAGGUGCUGUGGGCCUGAGGCGGCAACCCCAGUCCCUGGUGCUGGUGUUCUUCACGAGUCCUAUUGUUUGGUUUGCGGUAUCACGGGUGGUUUUGAGAUGGGCCCUUCCCCCUUUUUAUUUAUUGCCGCCUGGUAAGCCCC